rnacentral:misc_RNA from 1 species
UCCAACGAUGUCCAACGUCGUCCAACGGUGUCCAACGAUGUCCAACGGUGUCCAACGGUGUCCAACGGUGUCCAACGGUGUCCAACGGUGUCCAACGGUGUCCAACGGUGUCCAACGGUGUCCAACGGUGUCCAACGGUGUCCAACGGUGUCCCACGUUGCAAUCCAGUGUAGAUCAUCCAAAAUUCUUUUCGCGGCUUUUGGAGAUCCACACUGGAC